rnacentral:rRNA from 1 species
GCCUACGGGACGCAGCAGUGGGGGAUAUUGCACAAUGGGGGAAACCCUGAUGCAGCGACGCCGCGUGAGUGAAGAAGUAUUUCGGUAUGUAAAGCUCUAUCAGCAGGGAAGACAAAAGGACGGUACCUGCAGAAGAAGCCACGGCUAACUACGUGCCAGCAGCCGCGGUAAUACGUAGGUGGCAAGCGUUAUCCGGAAUUACUGGGUGUAAAGGGUGUGUAGGCGGGGCUGCAAGUCAGAUGUGAAAAUUAUGGGCUCAACCCAUAACCUGCGGCUGAAACUGUAGCGCUUGAGAGUGGGAGAGG